AGACCCGAAACCCGGUGAUCUAGCCAUGGGCAGGUUGAAGGUUGGGUAACACUAACUGGAGGACCGAACCGACUAAUGUUGAAAAAUUAGCGGAUGACCUGUGGCUGGGGGUGAAAGGCCAAUCAAACCGGGAGAUAGCUGGUUCUCCCCGAAAGCUAUUUAGGUAGCGCCUCGUGAAUUCAUCUCCGGGGGUAGAGCACUGUUUCGGCUAGGGGGCCAUCCCGGCUUACCAACCCGAUGCAAACUGCGAAUACCGGAGAAUGUUAUCACGGGAGACACACGGCGGGUGCUAACGUCCGUCGUGAAGAGGGAAACAACCCAGACCGCCAGCUAAGGUCCCAAAGUCAUGGUUAAGUGGGAAACGAUGUGGGAAGGCCCAGACAGCCAGGAUGUUGGCUUAGAAGCAGCCAUCAUUUAAAGAAAGCGUAAUAGCUCACUGGUCGAGUCGGCCUGCGCGGAAGAUGUAACGGGGCUAAACCAUGCACCGAAGCUGCGGCAGCGACACUGUGUGUUGUUGGGUAGGGGAGCGUUCUGUAAGCCUGUGAAGGUGGCCUGUGAGGGUUGCUGGAGGUAUCAGAAGUGCGAAUGCUGACAUAAGUAACGAUAAAGCGGGUGAAAAGCCCGCUCGCCGGAAGACCAAGGGUUCCUGUCCAACGUUAAUCGGGGCAGGGUGAGUCGACCCCUAAGGCGAGGCCGAAAGGCGUAGUCGAUGGGAAACGGGUUAAUAUUCCCGUACUUGGUGUUACUGCGAAGGGGGGACGGAGAAGGCUAUGUUGGCCGGGCGACGGUUGUCCCGGUUUAAGCGUGUAGGUGUGUGUUCCAGGUAAAUCCGGUUCACUUUAACACUGAGGCGUGAUGACGAGGCACUACGGUGCUGAAGCAACAAAUGCCCUGCUUCCAGGAAAAGCCUCUAAGCAUCAGGUAACAUCAAAUCGUACCCCAAACCGACACAGGUGGUCAGGUAGAGAAUACCAAGGCGCUUGAGAGAACUCGGGUGAAGGAACUAGGCAAAAUGGUGCCGUAACUUCGGGAGAAGGCACGCUGACACGUAGGUGAAGUGAUUUACUCAUGGAGCUGAAGUCAGUCGAAGAUACCAGCUGGCUGCAACUGUUUAUUAAAAACACAGCACUGUGCAAACACGAAAGUGGACGUAUACGGUGUGACGCCUGCCCGGUGCCGGAAGGUUAAUUGAUGGGGUCAGCGCAAGCGAAGCUCCUGAUCGAAGCCCCGGUAAACGGCGGCCGUAACUAUAACGGUCCUAAGGUAGCGAAAUUCCUUGUCGGGUAAGUUCCGACCUGCACGAAUGGCGUAAUGAUGGCCAGGCUGUCUCCACCCGAGACUCAGUGAAAUUGAACUCGCUGUGAAGAUGCAGUGUACCCGCGGCAAGACGGAAAGACCCCGUGAACCUUUACUAUAGCUUGACACUGAACAUUGAGCCUUGAUGUGUAGGAUAGGUGGGAGGCUUUGAAGCGUGGACGCCAGUCUGCGUGGAGCCGACCUUGAAAUACCACCCUUUAAUGUUUGAUGUUCUAACGUGGACCCGU
rnacentral:rRNA from 1 species